AACGAACGCUGGCGGCAUGCCUAACACAUGCAAGUCGAACGAGACCUUCGGGUCUAGUGGCGCACGGGUGCGUAACGCGUGGGAACCUGCCCUUCGGUUCGGAAUAACUCCCCGAAAGGGGUGCUAAUACCGGAUAAUGUCUUCGGACCAAAGAUUUAUCGCCUUUGGAUGGGCCCGCGUUGGAUUAGCUAGUUGGUAGGGUAAAAGCCUACCAAGGCGACGAUCCAUAGCUGGUCUGAGAGGAUGAUCAGCCACACUGGGACUGAGACACGGCCCAGACUCCUACGGGAGGCAGCAGUGGGGAAUAUUGGACAAUGGGCGAAAGCCUGAUCCAGCAAUGCCGCGUGAGUGAUGAAGGCCUUAGGGUUGUAAAGCUCUUUUACCCGGGAUGAUAAUGACAGUACCGGGAGAAUAAGCUCCGGCUAACUCCGUG
rnacentral:rRNA from 1 species